GACGAGGGCGCGAGCGUUGUCCGGAUUUAUUGGGCGUAAAGAGCUCGUAGGCGGCUUGUCGCGUCGAAUGUGAAAACUCGGGGCUCAACUCCGAGCUUGCAUUCGAUACGGGCAGGCUAGAGUUCGGUAGGGGAGACUGGAAUUCCUGGUGUAGCGGUGAAAUGCGCAGAUAUCAGGAGGAACACCGGUGGCGAAGGCGGCAUCCUGGACCGGUAUUGACGCUGAGGCGCGAAAGCCAGGGGAGCAAACGGG
rnacentral:rRNA from 1 species